rnacentral:rRNA from 1 species
GAGCUAACUGAAAUCAUAGAAUUUUUUAAAAUUCAUGAUGUCGUAAGGGAAAAUAAUGAUAAUACCUUACUAUGAGUCUGGUCCAAAUCUGGUGCCAGAAGACUCGGUAAGAGACCAGAGACGCAAACGUUAAUCAUCAUAAACAGGCGUAAAGGGUUUGUAGGCAGCUUUCACCAAACUAUAUUACAAAAUAAAGUAGUUUAAUUGAAAGCUAGAAUCAAAAGAGGUUAUAGUGUAUAACGCCUAGCGGAGGGCUGCUAUCCAUAGAUCCUAGGCAGAAUACUCAGGGCGAAGGCCACUCUCCACUACUGAUUGACGCUGAGAAACGAAGGUUAGGGUAGGAAAUAGGAUUAGAUACCCCGGUACUCCUUUCUGUAAACGAUGAAUGGUAGUCAUUAGUUUUAUAACUAGAGACGAAGUUAACACAAUAACCAUUCCGCCUUGUGAGUACUACUGCAAAGUAGAAAACAAAAAAAUUAGUCGGUCUCGAAGCAAACGGAGUGAA